rnacentral:lncRNA from 1 species
GUUUUUAGAACACCUUUUAUUGAUUAAGCAGUUAACAGCUUCAAGCUGUAAUUAUUAAUAGCGGGUAUCAGCUCUCACAAUAUAUUUACCUAUUUCUGCAGCCAGACAGACACAUGCACAGUCAUUCACAGCUGCCUGGUUGCAGCUGGGAUCCCAAUACCAGCUGGAUACUUGAAAGCAGAGGAUCAGACCAUCAUCAUGCCAAUGGCUUUGCAAGUCCGUAAAGAGCGAUCACAGACGCUGCCCAACCUUUCCAGCAUGUGAGAAGAGUGGAUCUUUUUUUGCUUCAGUGUAUCAUGCUGAGGAGGAACAGUCAUUCCACAUGUUUUUCCUUCCUCUUGAACACUGAGGUUUUGACUGUACUGGCUGCCAACAGAGCUGAGGUGCUUACACAAGCUGUGGAUCUUCAGGAUAUGCAUUAUUUAUAUAUAUCACUAAUCACAUGGUGGAAACCAGCAUUUAGCUAGAAUUCAAUCUAUCUUUCACUUAGCUGUCGUAAAAGCGAACUGCGGAUGUGCAGUUGCGAUUGCUCUGUGCAAGUAUCGUUGCUCUCUUGUAAGAGGAAAGGUACUGUGCUGCAAAAAGUCCAUCACCUUCAGC